AGCGUCAUCUGCGAGCCGAGCGCCAGGAGAAUCUUCUCCGUCUUGGUGGGUGUUAAACUUGGACCCUCUGAUGCAACAAAAUGAAAUCACUCUUGUGGGAGCCUUUCCAUGAGUUUUUCCUCUGACGAUCCUGCAGUCCGUUGGUGUGAACGAGAACACGGGGAGGUGCACCGAGAGGGGUCUGUGGAUUGGGCCCACGAGUACUUCUUCCAGUGGCAAAGGCUUUGAUCACAAGGCACAUGCCCUCAGAAUGCAGCUGUGACCCGAGCUUCACAU